rfam:Otolemur garnettii contig025722, whole genome shotgun sequence.
GCUGGACGCGGUGGCGCAGGCCUGUAGUCCCAGCUACUUGGAGGCUGAGACAGGAGGAUGGCUUGAGUCUAGGAGUUCUGGGCUGUAGUGCGCUAUGCUGAUCAGGUGUCUGCACUAAGUUGGGCAUCAAUAUGGUGACCUCCCGGGAGCAGGGGACCACCAAGUUGCCUAAGGAGGGGUGAACCGACCAGGUCAGAAAUGGAGCAGGUCAAAACUCCCCUGCUGGUCAGUGGUGGGAUCGUGAAUAGCCACUGCACUCCAGCCUGGGUAACAUAGCCAGAUCCGGUCUCUA